GACGACAAGCAUCUUUUUUUUCUCGCGCGGCCAAAAUGAGAACUAACUCCGCCAUCUUGUAAAGUACGACAAGAAUCUUUUGGCACUUGGAUGACAUUGACAGGGGGCAUAGUUGUAGAACAAAGGCUGC